UACACGAUCAAUUUGUAUACCAAGGUUAUCAAUCAUAGAAUCACUAGAGUGAGCUUAUAUUAAUAGAUUCAGUAAAGGUGCAUUGAAAGCGUGUUUGUUAGAGUUUGUUCUAUCUCAAUAGAUAUUUCAUAGUAUUGCCUUAGUUUCAUUGUUUAACUUAUCUUUUCAUGACAAGGAUAUGCACAUUUAAAUAAAUUUAUUAGCACAACAAAUUGUUCCCACAAAAUAAUUAAGGAUCAUUGUUCUUCAAACUAACUUGGUUCUAACAAUAUGGUGAUAUACUGAGAUGAAUCUUGAAAGUUGUUCAAUUGGCUCAAAAUGCAUCAUCAAGUUUCAUGGACCAAUCCUUUCUAGAAGCAUUGACUGUUUUCUCAAGAAUCUGCUUAAUAUGGUUGUUGGAGACUUCAACAUGUUGGCUAGUCUGUGGAUGAUAUAGGGUUACUGCCUUUUGUUAUACAUUACUUUUUUAGAAGGACCUCCAUCUUUCGAUUUAGAAAAUGAGUGUCCUCAUCGCUAGUUAUAGCUCUACGGAACCCCAAAAUGUGCAAAAGUAUUCUUUUUGAGGAAUGAAAUCAACUGUUGUGAAUCAUUGGUUGUGGUAGCAAUUGCUUAUACCCACAUGGAGACAUAAUCCACAUCCACCAAUAUAAAAACUUUUGCAUAUAAGGAAGGAAAGGGACCCAUGAAAUCAAUACCCCACACAUCAAACACUUCUACUUUUUAAAAUAGAAUUUUGAGGUAUCUCAUUUCACUAACAUCAAUCACACUUUUGCACAUAGUUGAAUGCAUCCUUGAACAAAGAAGGCCAAAAUAAUCCUGAUUUAAGGACCUUUGUUACGAUCCAAUCUCCACUAAAGUGACCUUUAUAAUCAGAGUCAUUACAAUGCCACAAUAACUUUUCCUGUUGUUCCAUGGGCAUACAUCUCAACAACCCAUCCACUUCUUCUUUGUACAAAAAAGGCUUAUUGCAUCAAUCAAAUUUUGCAUCACGGGUGAAUUUCUUUCAUAGUUGGUAUGCGAAAUCAAGGGAAUUGUCACACCCACCUUAUAAUUUGCAAAGUCAGGGAACUAUGAUGAGUUGGUAAAUGCAAAACUGUGUUCAUUCACAAUAUGGUCUCAGAUCGAUGUAGCGUCUUCAUCUUCUUCAACCUUCUCCAAUUGAGAUAGCUUUGUAAUCCAACAUGAUCAAGUACCAGACCACAAAUCCUAACAUAAUAUUUGCAUUUGAGUUGUUUCGACAUAAGCAUGACGGGGGCAUCCAUCUAGUAAUCUAUUUUAUCUCUUAACUUAUUUUAAACUUGUUUACGGUAACGAGUUGGUUAUGGAUGGUCAACCGAGCAUAGUUUCUACCCGAAUUCCCAUACCCUUCGAGGGUACAUUCAGGUGGUGGUUGUUGAGUGAUACUUGAUGGACAAGACACAACAUGAGCAACACCAAGAGAAACUGUAGGAAGUAUUGCUUCAACAAAAGAAUGAUGGAAGAACAUUCACCAAAAUGUUUUGGUUGCUAUAUUAAAGAACAAUUGACAAUAAGAAUCUUUUUAGAAGGGAAACAUGCAUUAAACUAGUCAACAUUUCAUACAUGAGCUUUGCAACAUUUAAUGAGCAAUUAAAAGUCAAGAUUUGAAGUCCUACUUGCAAAUACAAACAUGCAUAAUGUUUUGCAGAUUGAUCUCAAGAAUGAUUACAGAUUUAUCAAGAUCAUUUUGGUUUAUCAAAAGUCAUUCUAGUUUAUCAAGAUCCUUCUGGUUUAUCAAAUGAUUAUUCUAGUUUAACAAAGGAUCAUUCUGGUUAAUAACAAGAUCAUUCUAGUUUAUAAUAAGAUCAUUUUGUUUUAUCAAGAUCAUUCUGGUUAGUUCGUUUAAAGGAUAAAAGUAAAAUGAACCAUUCCCUAUAGUUCAGACCUUAAGAUAAACGAAUAUCAAUGCUACUCAAAAGAUAUACUCAAACAUAAAAUUAUAGCUAAAGGCCCAAAGAAGCAGACAACAUCAAGAUCAAUCUUUAGAUUGAUGAGUUGUGUGAAAGGACAACAAGGACAAAAUGACAUUACUAUUGCACUUUUUGGAAAAAGCUGAACAUGCCUCUAAGACAAAAGACUGACACUAAACAACUAUUCAAUCACUUAUCCACGUUUUCCAUUCAACACAUAACCAAGAACAUUCUUGUUUUAUAAAACAACAUUUUGGUUAUUCUCUUUUAAAGAAAAAAUUAAAACAGAUCAUUUCCAUAGUCCAAACUACAAAUUGAAUUGUAUCAAGAUUGCUCAAAUCAAUGGUCAAGCCUAUAACUCGAGUUUAAUGCCCAAAAGAGGAAACAUCUUCAAGAUUGAUGACCAGAUUGAUGAGUUGUGAGCAAGGAUGCAAUUACACUAUACUUUUUUAUUCUGUAGAAAGCUCUCCAUAAUUUUGAUUUUGAAUAGUACCAAUUGACAUUUCGUAGCUCA